rnacentral:rRNA from 1 species
UUAGUGGCGAACGGGUGAGUAACACGUGAGUAACCUGCCCUUGACUCUGGGAUAAGCCUGGGAAACUGGGUCUAAUACCGGAUAUGACCAUCUGACGCAUGUCAUGGUGGUGGAAAGCUUUUGUGGUUUUGGAUGGACUCGCGGCCUAUCAGCUUGUUGGUGGGGUAAUGGCCUACCAAGGCGACGACGGGUAGCCGGCCUGAGAGGGUGACCGGCCACACUGGGACUGAGACACGGCCCAGACUCCUACGGGAGGCAGCAGUGGGGAAUAUUGCACAAUGGGCGGAAGCCUGAUGCAGCGACGCCGCGUGAGGGAUGACGGCCUUCGGGUUGUAAACCUCUUUCAGUAGGGAAGAAGCGAAAGUGACGGUACCUGCAGAAGAAGCGCCGGCUAACUACGUGCCAGCAGCCGCGGUAAUACGUAGGGCGCAAGCGUUAUCCGGAAUUAUUGGGCGUAAAGAGCUCGUAGGCGGUUUGUCGCGUCUGCUGUGAAAGACCGGGGCUCAACUCCGGUUCUGCAGUGGGUACGGGCAGACUAGAGUGCAGUAGGGGAGACUGGAAUUCCUGGUGUAGCGGUGAAAUGCGCAGAUAUCAGGAGGAACACCGAUGGCGAAGGCAGGUCUCUGGGCUGUAACUGACGCUGAGGAGCGAAAGCAUGGGGAGCGAACAGGAUUAGAUACCCUGGUAGUCCAUGCCGUAAACGUUGGGCACUAGGUGUGGGGGACAUUCCACGUUUUCCGCGCCGUAGCUAACGCAUUAAGUGCCCCGCCUGGGGAGUACGGCCGCAAGGCUAAAACUCAAAGGAAUUGACGGGGGCCCGCACAAGCGGCGGAGCAUGCGGAUUAAUUCGAUGCAACGCGAAGAACCUUACCAAGGCUUGACAUGAACCGGAAAGACCUGGAAACAGGUGCCCCGCUUGCGGUCGGUUUACAGGUGGUGCAUGGUUGUCGUCAGCUCGUGUCGUGAGAUGUUGGGUUAAGUCCCGCAACGAGCGCAACCCUCGUUCUAUGUUGCCAGCGCGUUAUGGCGGGGACUCAUAGGAGACUGCCGGGGUCAACUCGGAGGAAGGUGGGGACGACGUCAAAUCAUCAUGCCCCUUAUGUCUUGGGCUUCACGCAUGCUACAAUGGCCGGUACAAAGGGUUGCGAUACUGUGAGGUGGAGCUAAUCCCAAAAAGCCGGUCUCAGUUCGGAUUGGGGUCUGCAACUCGACCCCAUGAAGUCGGAGUCGCUAGUAAUCGCAGAUCAGCAACGCUGCGGUGAAUACGUUCCCGGGCCUUGUACACACCGCCCGUCAAGUCACGAAAG